rnacentral:rRNA from 1 species
AUUGAAAGCUGGCGGCAGGCUUAACACAUGCAAGUCGAGCGAGCGGCGGACGGGUGAGUAAUGUCUGGGAAACUGCCUGAUGGAGGGGGAUAACUACUGGAAACGGUAGCUAAUACCGCAUACCAUCAGAUGUGCCCAGAUGGGAUUAGCUAGUAGGUGGGGUAAUGGCGCACCUAGGCGACGAUUCCUAGCUGGUCUGAGAGGAUGACCAGCCGCACUGGAACUGAGACACGGUCCAGACUCCUACGGGAGGCAGCAGGGGGGAAUAUUGCACGAGUGGCGCGAGCCUGAUGCAGCCAGGCCGCGUGUGUGAAGAAGGCCUUCGGGUUGUAAAGCACUUGCAGAGAGGAGGCGUUACUCGCAGAAUAUGCACCAGCUAACGCCGUGCCAGCAGCCGCGGUAAUAC